CGGCACAUGAAUGAUAGAAGAUAGUUUAUUUAACUUAUUUGAGGGGAGUGGCUGUGCUGUGAAAUUAUAAUCAACAAUACAAACGAACUAGAUGAACACAACAAACAGAUAUUCAGCUUGAAAACACACAGGCGCCAGUUCAACGCGUUUGUUUAAUCUUUCCUGAUCAUGUCAAUAAUGCGGCAUAAGGAAUGAAACUGUGAGCUGGUUGUCACAGUUACCUAACCAUUUCCCCCAAAUGUCUGGUGAUCUCGAAAGAUGUUCUCCAUGUGUUGAAGCUGAAGACAUGACCUACACAUGGAUGAAACUCUGGGAGCAUGCUGUGAUAGUGCUGGCCUUUGGAAUUCCGUCAAUACCCUGUAUAGUAAUCAUGUGACGAAGAUAUGACUGCAUUGUGGAGCAUGUGCGCUGAUAAAUUGAGUUGGCUACGUUUCUGUGUAAUGUGCAUUACAAAAUAGUUUGAUAUGAUAUGUUAUUAUUAUUAUUAUUUUUUUUGUUUGUUUGUUUAUUCCACUUCCUCUUUUUUCUCACAACUUGUCAGUUCUACC
ensembl:lncRNA